rnacentral:lncRNA from 1 species
ACGCCUGUAAUCCCAGCAUUCUGAGAGGCCGAGGCAGGUGGAUCAUCUGAGGUCAGGAGUUCCAGACCAGCCUGGCCAACACAGUGAAACCCCAUCUCUACUAAAAAUACAAUAAUUAGCUGGGGGUGGUGGCGCACGCAACAUGUUUCUUUGCCAUAUUUUGAGAUGGCCCUGCAAAGCUGUUCUUUGUGGGGGAAAAUUUGCAUCUGUAAAGAAUCUCUAUUAACAAAGCUAGAUCUUUUUCUUCUGGACCCUCCCAAUCCUAAAGAGAUUAACUAAGAGAACUUUGGUCUCCACAAUCUUUAUCUUAACCUGAACAUUCCCUUUCUACCAACCUCAGGUCUUUAGACAUAUUCAACUAAUUGUCAACCAGAAAAUUUUAAAUUCACCUGUAACCUGGAACACCCCACCCCGACCAACUUGGUUUGAGUUGUCCCACCUUUCUGGAUCAAACCAAUGUAUUUCUUAAAUGUAUUUGAUUGAUGUCUCAUGCCUCUCUAAAAUGUGUAAGACCAAGCUGCGCCCC